GGCUUGGUCCUAACUUUACUAUAAGCUUUAACCCAACUUAUACAUGCAAGUCUCCGCACCCCCGUGAGAAUGCCCUCAUUCCCCCCCCCCAUCGGGGAAGAGGAGCCGGCAUCAGGCACACUUUAUUAGCCCAAGACGCCUUGCUUAGCCACACCCCCAAGGGACUUCAGCAGUAAUAAACAUUAAGCCAUGAGUGAAAACUUGACUUAGCCAGGGUUAAAAGGGCCGGUAAAAUCCGUGCCAGCCACCGCGGUUAUACGAAAGACCCUAGUUUAUAGAUGCGGCGUAAAGGGUGGUUAAGGAAAACCUAAAAUAAUGCUAAAGACUCUCAAAGCUGUUAUACCCUUCAUGAGCACACGAAAUCCAAAUACAAAAGUUGCCUUAAUAAACUUUGCCUGACCCCACGAAAGCUGAAAAACAAACUGGGAUUAGAUACCCCACUAUGUUCAGCCUUAAACCCAGAUAAAAUAUUACAAAAUUAUUCGCCAGGGAACUACAAGCACAGCUUAAAACCCAAAGGACUUGGCGGUGCCUCAGAUCCACCUAGAGGAGCCUGUUCUAGAACCGAUAAUCCCCGUUAAACCUCACCACUUCUUGUCUUUCCCGCCUAUAUACCGCCGUCGUCAGCUCACCCUCUGAAGGUCUAAUAGUGAGCAAAAUGAGUUCAACCCAAAACGUCAGGUCAAGGUGUAGCGCACGAAGUGGAAAGAAAUGGGCUACAUUUUCUAUUACAGAAUACUACGAAUAACGCCCUGAAAACAGCAUCUGAAGGAGGAUUUAGCAGUAAAAAGUAAAUAGAGCGUACUUUUGAAUUAGGCUCUGAGGCGCGCACACACCGCCCGUCACUCUCCCCACCACAACCAACAACCAUUUAUAAUAUUAAUACGAAAACACGGGGAGGCAAGUCGUAACAUGGUAAGUGUACCGGAAGGUGCACUUGGAACAAUC
rnacentral:ncRNA from 1 species